rnacentral:lncRNA from 1 species
GUGACGCUUGAAAGUAUAGAUAUUCCUAAACAAAGAAAGGGUUAACUGAACUUCGACUAAGCGAUAGAGGGAAAGAAAUCCUAUUAGAAACCUAAAGGAGUUCGGCGCUACAGAAACUAGAGAAAUAUUCAAAAAAUGAAAAAGAGCGACAACAAAGGGGGGAAGCGAAAGUCGAAGCCCGACAUGGAAAGCUUCCUGAUAUAAACAGAAGCAGCCAGGAGGAGGGAUGCUGGCCCGGGU